rnacentral:rRNA from 1 species
AUUGAACGCUGGCGGCAGGCCUAACACAUGCAAGUCGAACGAGUGGCGGACGGGUGAGUAAUGUCUGGGACACUGCCCGAUGGAGGGGGGUAACUACUGGAAACGGUAGCUAAUCCCGCAUACCAUCGGAUGUGCCCAUAUGGGAUUAGCUAGUAGGUGGGGUAACGGCUAACCUAGGCGACGAUCCCUAGCUGGUCUGAGAGGAUGACCAGCCACACGGGAACUGAGACACGGUCCAGACUCCUACGGGAGGAAGCAGUGGGGAAUAUUGCACAAUGGGAGCAAGCCUGAUGCAGCCAUGCCGCGUGUAUGAAGAAGGCCUUCGGGUUGUAAAGUACUUUCAGCGAGGAGGCGUUACUCGCAGAAGAAGCACCGGCUAACUCCGUGCCAGCAGCCGCGGUAAUUC